CUUCGAUGGAUCUAGAGUACGAUGGCAACCAUGAAACUCAAGAAAGUACCGAUGCAUGCCACUUUGGUAAAAGAUAUCUCACCUCGAUCUCAACGGAAUGCUCUUGUGCGUGUUUCGCUGAUCUGGGAGAACAAUGACCAAGAACAUAAUGUGUAUGAAUUGGGGUUCAUUUCUGUUGACCACCUGGUACCUCCUGAAUGCUCGGUUUCUUGAUCCCCCAUGGUGACCUACACAUGAGAUUCAUGCAGUUAGGGAAGAAGCAGACUAACAAAGGAAAAGUUCACAGGAACUUCAUUAUAUCGAAGAAUCCAAUGGCUG